rnacentral:rRNA from 1 species
UACGUAGGGUGCAAGCGUUGUCCGGAAUUAUUGGGCGUAAAGAGCUUGUAGGCGGCCCGGUAAGUCCGCUGUGAAAGUCGGGGGCUCAACCCUCGGAUGCCGGUGGAUACUGUCGGGCUCGAGUACGGAAGAGGCGAGUGGAAUUCCUGGUGUAGCGGUGAAAUGCGCAGAUAUCAGGAGGAACACCAAUUGCGAAGGCAGCUCGCUGGGACGUUACUGACGCUGAGACGCGAAAGCGUGGGGAGCAAACAGG